UGGGGAAUUUUGCGCAAUGGGGGAAACCCUGACGCAGCAACGCCGCGUGGAGGAUGAAGUCCUUCGGGACGUAAACUCCUUUCGAUCGGGACGAUAAUGACGGUACCGGAAGAAGAAGCCCCGGCUAACUUCGUGCCAGCAGCCGCGGUAAUACGAGGGGGGCGAGCGUUGUUCGGAAUUAUUGGGCGUAAAGGGUGCGUAGGCGGCUUGGUAAGUCUUAUGUGAAAUCUAUGGGCUCAACUCAUAGACUGCAUGAGAAACUGCCGGGCUCGAGUGUGGGAGAGGUGAGUGGAAUUUCCGGUGUAGCGGUGAAAUGCGUAGAUAUCGGAAGGAACACCUGUGGCGAAAGCGGCUCACUGGACCACAACUGACGCUGAUGCACGAAAGCUAGGGGAGCAAACAGG
rnacentral:rRNA from 1 species